UAGGUGAGGAAACCAGCUGGGUGACUUUCAGUGAAUCACCAGGAGACAGAUUUUUCUGUGCAUCAUUUCCUCCGAGUUCAGAUUCAGUAUUUUACUUUAUGGUGUAAAGCAUCACAUAUGCUCCAUGGUGCUAUAUCAAUUGCUAUUAUUAAGAGGUUACAGGCUGGUGUCAUAACAAUCACAAUUCUGUCUCAGGAUUACAAGCGUAGUUUGCUCCCAGCCUUGGAAAAAAAAAAUCCUAUCAGUGCCUUGGCAGGUCUUUUAUUUUUAAAAUUUGGAAUAGGCUUCCUUUUCCCCCCGCUUCUCUUAUGGGUAGCUUGCAAAAAUCUCUCUUGGCGUUGAUGGUUUGCCGUUUCUGAUGUUUAGGUUAUUUCUUGCAUAUCCGAACUUCAUCACCAUCAAAGUUGUCUGGCAGGGGGAGAUUUUCAAAGAGAGAGAGAGAGAGAGAGAAAGGCUGCAAAGGACACUUUUACGAUGUAUUUAAAGUGCAUAAUUUUAAUUACAUUUCAAUAAAGUUUCAAUUUCAGGGGAU